rnacentral:lncRNA from 1 species
UUCUCCUACUAACUUAAAAAAUAUAAAUUAAAGGCUAAAUUAUAGAAAAAUUUUCGGCCAAUAUCUCUUUUUUUAUUUGUUCUCUCAUAUCAUUUAAAACCUAUACUUACUUUCUUGAAAAGUCAAAAACGUUUACAGGAGGAUACGGUGUUAAUUGUGAUAGUGAAAUCGCCAAAUUAUCCCUAACCACCUUCGUCCCCAAUCUUGCUCGGCCGUUGUCUCUCCUCUUCCGUUCUUCGCGUCUCGCUCAACCGCAGCUUCGACUCCAUGUCCUCCAUCUGCUCUCCCGCUCCUCCUGCACUGUAAUGACCACGACCCGACCCGCUAGCAACAAUAACUUGUUGCGUCCGAACCACCGGUACAAAAUGCUUAAGCCGAGUUAUUAUUACUAGCGUGUAGGUCUCAUAUAAACUGAUAGGAAUCAGUAUCCCAUCCGAUCUGGGACUAUUGGGGGCGUUACAAACUCCCCCGUUUAGACCCUGACGUUCUCGUCGGGUCCAAACCAGAUUACAAACAGACAGAUCAGGACCAUUACCAAGCGAUGUGAGAUUCUAGAGGUGGCUCCUACGGGUUCAAGAGGUGGCUCCCACCAAAUCCGUUGGUGUAGCACUUUGUCCUGCAUAGCACUUAGUUCUCACACUUCCGGCUGGUAACCUGGCUCUGAUACUAAUUGCAACGACCACGAUCCAACCCGCUAGCAACAAAAACUCGUUGAGCCCGAACCACCGGCCCAAAAUACUUAAGCCGAGUUAUUAUUACUAGCGUGUAGGUCUCAUAUAAACUGAUAGGAAUCAGUAUCCCAUCCGAUCUGGGACUAUUGGGGACGUUACAUGCACCCUCAUCGUCCCCCCAUUUCGAUGACGGUCGAAGGAGAUUGGAUUGGGUAUGGACGGAGAGGUGGGCGAUGGCAAGACGGUGAAGGAGCGUGAGAGCGUGUGUGUGGGCGCGAAUGGAGAGAUGGGUGAAGGCGAGGCGGCAGAGGAGUAGGGCGAAGCGGCGUGGGCGGCGAAGGAGGCGACAAUAUUAAGAGGAGGUGGUUGAGAAUAUUUUUGAUAUAAAAAAUAUAUAAUAAUAUAAUAUAAACGAAAUUCUGAUGGAAUACUAACGGCAUGCAGGAGCCAAAAUGAACAUUUUUUAUUUUUCAAAUGAACAAAAUAUAGAUUUUUAAACGACAGAAGAAAAAAAUAAAAAAGAGGAUACCGACAAUAAAAUUUUUUGUAAUUUAGU